CCUACGGGUGGCAGCAGUGGGGAAUAUUUCUCAAUGGGGGCAACCCUGAACCAGCGACGCCGCGUGCGGGAUGACGGUUUUCGGAGUGUAAAGCUCUUUCUGUAGGGAAGUAAAUGACGGUACCUGACUAAGAAGCCCCGGCUAACUCCGUGCCAGCAGCCGCGGUAAUACGUAGGGUGCAAGCGUUAUCCGGAUUCACUGGGCGUAAAGCGAGCGUAGGCGGGGUGGAAAGUCAGAGGUGAAAUCCCGGGGCUCAACCACGGAACUGCAUUUGAAACUGUUCUGCUAGAGUAUCGGAGAGGUAGGCGGAAUGUAUGGUGUAGCGGUGAAAUGCGUAGAUAUUAAACGGAACACCGAUUGCGAAGGCGGCCUGCUAGACGAUAACUGACGUUGAGGCACGAAAGCGUGGGGAGCAAACAGGAUUAGAUACCCGAGUAGUC
rnacentral:rRNA from 1 species